GUAUGGUAUUGGCUUACCGUGGCAGUGACGGUUAACGGGGGAUUAGGGUUCGAUUCCGGAGAGGGAGCCUGAGAAACGGCUACCACAUCUAAGGAAGGCAGCAGGCGCGCAAAUUACCCAAUUCUAAUAGCAUAAGAGAGGUAGUGACAAGAAAUAACAAUACAAGGCAGUAAAAAUGCUUUGUAAUUGGAAUGAUAGAAAUUUAAACACUUUUUAAAGUAUCAAUUGGAGGGCAAGUCUGGUGCCAGCAGCCGCGGUAAUUCCAGCUCCAAUAGCGUAUAUUAAAAUUGUUGCAGUUAAAAAGCUCGUAGUUGAAUUUCUGUUAAAAAUAACCGGUCUGCUUUUAAUAAAAGUAGUAUCUUGGUGUGUUUUUAGCAAUAAUGUCUAUUGAAAUGUUUUUUACUUUAUUGUAAUAAAUUAUAUUCAGGAUUUUUACUUUGAGAAAAUUAGAGUGUUUCUAGCAAGCUAACGCUUUGAAUACUGCAGCAUGGAAUAAUAAAAUAGGAUUUUGGUUCUACAUUAUUGGUUUUAAGGACUAAAUUAAUGAUUGAUAGGGACAGUUGGGGGCAUUUGUAUUUAACU
rnacentral:rRNA from 1 species